rnacentral:rRNA from 1 species
UACAGAGGAUGCAAGCGUUAUCCGGAAUGAUUGGGCGUAAAGCGUCUGUAGGUGGCUUUUUAAGUCCGCCGUCAAAUCCCAGGGCUCAACUCUGGACAGGCGGUGGAAACUACCAAGCUGGAGUACGGUAGGGGCAGGAGGGAAUUCCCGGGUGUAGCGGUGAAAUGCGCAGAUAUCGGGAGGAACACCAAUGGCGAAGGCAGCUCGCUGG